rnacentral:rRNA from 1 species
AAAACGACUCUCGGCAACGGAUAUCUCGGCUCUCGCAUCGAUGAAGAACGUAGCGAAAUGCGAUACUUGGUGUGAAUUGCAGAAUCCCGUGAACCAUCGAGUCUUUGAACGCAAGUUGCGCCCGAAGCCGCCAGGCCGAGGGCACGUCUGCCUGGGCGUCACGC